GCCUCUGUGGUGUAGUUGGUUAUCACGUGAGUCUCAUAAUCUCAAGGCCGCCAGUUCGAUCCUGGCCGGGGGCA
rnacentral:tRNA from 1 species